CCAAAGCCAUGUACACAAAGAUACCUCUGAAAGUCAUUUUGCUUUAACACGCCUUAAAGAUGUGUCUUUCACGAAAACCACAAGUGCAUGAUGUUUGAGGAGUAAAAUUAAGCACCCCCCAAGUUAAAAGAGUGCAAUUAUAUGCAUUCCCUUUGGGGAAUAAGCUCCUCCAAAUUGCAGAGGAUGUGUUCAGAGCACUCUGGGUUGGCUAGUUUAUGUUAAUUUUUUAGAAUGCUGCCUACUCUAUUUGACUCACUUUGCCAUUUUGUGCUUUUCUUGAUAGACUUCUAAAAAUAAUUUAUGUAAAGUCCUGCUUGGCUUCUGAACUACAACACUUGUGCCUCUACAGAAAAAUGAAGACAAGACACAGCAGGGGUCAGAAAUCUACUGCACAUAGGCAACAGCAGCGGUGAAAAUGUAACUACACUGACUUUGGAGUAGCAAUGAAAAAGUGAAUAUCUGAAAUCUCUAUUAGGACUGUGAUGCCCAUGGUGACCCUUGAAACUCCACAUCUUCACAGACACUGUGACCCAGAUGCACUUAAUGGGCUCCCGAUUCUUGGGUUUUGCUGUAGAUCAGAUGGACAUUGUGGGCAGUGGCACUCUCCUCUCACUGUCUUCUGCCUCAGCUUUCUUGUUGACUUCCUUCAUAACAGAGCAGGCACACCCCAUAGUGAAAGUUCUCCUGAGCAGGCAAGAGCUUUCCACACCAUGUCAGUACUGUACAGCACAUGCACGGGGGUUCUAGUCUCGUGGUAGGAAGUGGCAAAGUGCUGUUGGAGGCAAAAAGACUAAGACACAGAAAAUGUGUCUUAGUAAAUGCUAAUGAACAUGAGGUAUGAGUAUGCCACUUAAGGACACUGGUCUGCACACAAUGUCUGUGGAAUAUAAUGAAGAUGGUCCUUGCUGCUCUCUCUGAAUCUCUCUAUCUUCCUUUCAGCCUCAGAGUCCUUCAAAGGUAUCCUCCCACCCAGCCCCAGCUCUCAGUUGAUUCACUCACACUGCUUACAGAUCCAUCCGCUGAAAAGUACCCACCUGCUCGGCAGAAUUCAUCGGCCUCCUGGUGCACCAUGUCUUUGACCCGAUUGCUGUAGGUCAACCUGGAAUCUUGAUCAUAAGCCUUCAGGGUCUCGCUGGAGCUGUAGGACUUCUGGGGUACCUUGCUGUCCUCACUCUCAGCCGAAGAGCUCGUGUAGCGACGCUCAGUGUCGCGGCGCCGAGUCAGAGAUCGAUACGGUUUCCUCUCUUUUACAUCCAUGGCACCCUUAUCUGAGUAUUCAACAUUAAAAAAAUGACGUCUGUGUGGUGGUCAGAUUGGAAUAACCUGAAAGAGAGAAUAAAAGAAAUUCAUGCCUUUGGG